rnacentral:rRNA from 1 species
CAGUCGCCGCGGGAAUACGGAGGGUGCAAGCGUUAAUCGGAAUUACUGGGCGUAAAGCGCACGCAGGCGGUCUGUCAAGUCGGAUGUGAAAUCCCCGGGCUCAACCUGGGAACUGCAUUCGAAACUGGCAGGCUAGAGUCUUGUAGAGGGGGGUAGAAUUCCAGGUGUAGCGGUGAAAUGCGUAGAGAUCUGGAGGAAUACCGGUGGCGAAGGCGGCCCCCUGGACAAAGACUGACGCUCAGGUGCGAAAGCGUGGGGAGCAAACAGGAUUAGAUACCCCUGUAGUCCCUGUCUCUUAUAC